rnacentral:rRNA from 1 species
AUUGAACGCUGGCGGCAUGCUUUACACAUGCAAGUCGAACGGCAGCGCGGGGGCAACCCUGGCGGCGAGUGGCGAACGGGUGAGUAAUGCAUCGGAACGUAUCCUGUAAUGGGGGAUAACGUAGCGAAAGUUACGCUAAUACCGCAUACGCUCGAGAGAGGAAAGUGGGGGAUCGCAAGACCUCACGUUAUAGGAGCGGCCGAUGUCCGAUUAGCUAGUUGGUGGGGUAAAGGCCUACCAAGACGACGAUCGGUAGCUGGUCUGAGAGGAUGAUCAGCCACACGGGAACUGAGACACGGUCCCGACUCCUACGGGGGGCAGCAGUGAGGAAUAUUGGGCAAUGGGCGAAAGCCUGACCCAGCAACGCCGCGUGGAGGAUGAAGGCUCUAGGGUUGUAAACUCCUUUUGUGGGGGAAAGAGAGGAUGGUACCCCAACGAAUAAGUCACGGCUAACUAC